rnacentral:rRNA from 1 species
UAGGGAAUCUUCCGCAAUGGACGCAAGUCUGACGGAGCAACGCCGCGUGAGUGAAGAAGGAUUUCGGUUCGUAAAACUCUGUUGUUAGAGAAGAACAGCGCAUAGAGUAACUGUUAUGCGUGUGACGGUAUCUAACCAGAAAGCCACGGCUAACUACGUGCCAGCAGCCGCGGUAAUACGUAGGUGGCAAGCGUUAUCCGGAAUUAUUGAGCGUAAAGCGCGCGUAGGCGGUUUUUUAAGUCUGAUGUGAAAGCCCACGGCUCAACCGUGGAGGGUCAUUGGAAACUGGAAAACUUGAGUGCAGAAGAGGAAAGUGGAAUUCCAUGUGUAGCGGUGAAAUGCGCAGAGAUAUGGAGGAACACCAGUGGCGAAGGCGACUUUCUGGUCUGUAACUGACGCUGAUGUGCGAAAGCGUGGGAAUCAAACAGG